rnacentral:rRNA from 1 species
UACGUAGGGUGCGAGCGUUGUCCGGAAUUACUGGGUGUAAAGGGCGUGUAGGCGGGUAAGCAAGUCAGGUGUGAAAUACCGCAGCUCAACUGAGGUAUUGCAUCUGAAACUGCUAAUCUUGAGUACUGGAGAGGGAAGCGGAAUUCCUAGUGUAGCGGUGAAAUGCGUAGAGAUUAGGAGGAACACCAGUGGCGAAGGCGGCUUCCUGGCCAGAGACUGACGCUGAGGCGCGAAAGCGUGGGGAGCAAACAGG